UCCAGUUGAUCCUGCUGGAGAUUGCUGCUAUGGGGGUUCGAUUAAGCCAUGCAAGUCGGAGGGACUCUUCGGAGUCACAGGCGAAAGGCUCAGUAACACGUUGAUAAUCUGCCCUAUGGUCGGGAAUAACCUUGGAAAACUGAGGCUAAGACCCGAUAGUCAAUUAACACUGGAAUGUGUUUUUGAUCAACAUAGGAUGAGUCAGCGGCUGAUUAGGCAGUUGGCGGGGUAAUGGCCCACCAAACCUUAGAUCAGUAUGGGCUUUGAGAGAAGUAGCCCAGAGAAGGACACUGAGAAACUGGUCCUAGCCCUACGGGGUGCAGCAGGCGCGAAACCUUUACAAUGCACGCAAGUGUGAUAAGGGAACCCCCAGUGCUCAUGUUAUACAUGGGCUUUUGUAAAAGGUAAAUACUUUUACGAAUAAGUGGUGGGUAAGACUGGUGCCAGCCGCCGCGGUAACACCAGCGCCACGAGUGGCAAUCACUUUUAUUGGGCCUAAAGCGUCCGUAGCUGGUUCUGUAAGUCCUUUGUGAAAUCGUCAAGCUUAACUUGACGGCGUGCUUAGGAUACUACAGAACUUGGAAUCGGGAGGAGUCAGAGGUAUUCUGAGGGGAGCGGUAAAAUGCUAUAAUCCUCAGAGGACCACCGGUGGCAAAGGCGUCUGACUAGAACGAAUUCGACAGUGAGGGACGAAAGCUAGGGGAGUGAUCCGGAUUAGAUACACGAGUAGUCCUAGCCGUAAACGCUGCGAGCUAGGCGUUGCAAAUUCUACGUGAAUUUGCAGUGUCGUAGCGAAGGUGUUAAGCUCGCCGCCUGGGAAGUAUGGUCGCAAGGCUGAAACUUAAAGGAAUUGGCGGGGGAGCACUACAACGAGUGGAAUGUGCGGUUUAAUCUAAUUCAACGCAGAGAAUCUCACCAGGAGCGACGGCAGGAUGAAAGUCAGAUUGAAGGUCUUACUUAACGAGCCGAGAGGUAGUGCAUGGCCGCCGUCAGCUCGUGCCGUAAGGUGUCCUGUUAAGUCAGGCAACGAGCGAGACCUGCACUCAUAAUUGCUAGCUGGCUCUUUGGAGCGACAGAGCACAUUGUGAGGACUGCCCUGGAAACAAGGAGGAAGGUGCAGGCUACGGUAGGUCUGUAUGCUCCGAAUCUCCUGGGCGACACGCGCAUUACAAUGGCAGCGACAAUGGGAUACAACUCCGAAAGGAGAAGUUAAUCCUCGAAACGCUGUCUCAGUUCGGAUUGAGGGCUGUAACUCGCCCUCAUGAAGCCGGAAUUCGUAGUAAUCGGACUUCAACAUAGUCCGGUGAAUACGUCCCUGCUCCUUGCACACACUGCCCGUCAAACCACUCGAGCCGGGUUUAGAUGAGGUCUAAUUUCUUGAUUAGGUCGAAUCUAAGCUCAGUGAGAUGGGUUAAGUCGUCACAAGGUA
rnacentral:rRNA from 1 species